rnacentral:lncRNA from 1 species
CGAACAAGCAAGAUGAAGAGGCCUUUCUGGUGUGGUAACAUUAAAGCUGAGAAGAAUGACAAGAAGUCAGCCAUUCCAAAUGGGGAGGAGGCAUUCCAGGCAGAGGGCACAGCAGAAAGACAUGUUGGAGUCCUGUCCCCAGUGCCUGUGAAUGUGACCUAAUUUGGAGACAGGAUCUUUACAGAAGGAAUCAAGUUAGGAUGAGGUCAUACUGGAGGAGGAUGGGCCCUGAUCCACUGUGACUGGUGUCCUUCUAAGAAGAGAGGAGACAGGAGGACAGACACAGGAAGAAUGCCACGUGACAACAGAGACUGGGGUGAUGUGUCUACAAGCCAAGGAAGGCCAAGGAUUGCCAGCCAUCACCUGAAGCAGAGACAAGGAAGGAGCACGCUCUUGCCCUAUCUUGACUUCUGCCCUCCGGAACUGUGAGAGAAGAAACGCCUGUUGUUUUAGCCACUCAGUUUGUGUACUUUGUUACAGCAGCCCCGGGAAACUCACGCACCUUAUUUAGACCAUACAGAAAAAUGAACUUGACAUGGGUUGUAGACCUGAAAGUGAAACCUGCAACUAAAAAACAUCUAAAUAAAACAUGGGAGAGGGGCUGACCCCGUGGCCGAGUGGUUAAGUUCGCGCGCUCCGCUGCAGGCGGCCCAGUGUUUCGUUGGUUCGAAUCCUGGGCGCGGACAUGGCACUGCUCAUCAAACCACGCUGAGGCAGCAUCCCACAUGCCACAACUAGAAGGACCCACAACGAAGAAUAUACAACUAUGUACCGGGGGGCUUUGGGGAGAAAAAGGAAAAAAAUAAAAUCUUAAAAAAAAAAAAUGGGAGAAAAUCUCUGUGACCUUUGUCUAGGCAAAGGUUUCUUGGACAGGGUAUAAAAAUCAUUAAUCACAGAAGGAAAAAUUGAUAAAUUGGAUUUCAUAAAAAAUCUCAACUUUUGCUCUUUGAAAGAUACUAUUAUGAAAAUGAAAAGACAAGUCGCUGGCUUGGAGAAAAGAAAUUUUUAUGACAAAGGGUUUGUAUCCAGAAUAUGUAAUAUAUAUAAAGUUGUACAAGUCAAUAAAAAUGAGACAAACAUCCUACUUUUUAAAAAUAGACAAAAGAUUUGCAUUAAC